UGGUUGUCGUCAGCUCGUGUCGUGAGAUGUUGGGUUAAGUCCCGCAACGAGCGCAACCCUUACCUUCAGUAGCCAGCACGUAAUGGUGGGCACUCUGGAGGGACUGCCGGGGACAACCCGGAGGAAGGUGGGGACGACGUCAAAUCAUCAUGCCCCUUAUGGCCUGGGCUACACACGUGCUACAAUGGCGUAAACAGAGGGAGGCAGCCCCGCGAGGGUGAGCAAACCCCAAAAAUAACGUCCCAGUUCGGAUUGCAGUCUGCAACUCGACUGCAUGAAGCUGGAAUCGCUAGUAAUCGCGGAUCAGAAUGCCGCGGUGAAUACGUUCCCGGGUCUUGUACACACCGCCCGUCACACCAUGGGAGCUGGUAACGCCCGAAGUCAGUGACCUAACCGAAAGGGAGGAGCUGCCGAAGGUGGGACCAGUGACUGGGGUGAAGUCGUAACAAGGUAGCCGUAUCGGAAGGUGCGGCUGGAUCACCUC
rnacentral:rRNA from 1 species